AGCUAACGUUGGCGGCGUGCCUAACACAUGCAAGUCGAACGCGUCCCCGCAAGGGGAUGAGUGGCGAACGGGUGAGUAACACGUGGGUCAUCUCCCCUCGAGUGAGGAAUAAGCUCCCGAAAGGGAGUCUAAUACUGCAUAACGCCCCGGGACAUAAGUCCCGGGUCCAAAGCCGUAAGGCGCUUGAGGAUGAGCCUGCGUCCUAUUAGCUAGUUGGUAGGGUAAUGGCCUACCAAGGCGAAGAUGGGUAGCCGGCCUGAGAGGGUGAACGGCCACACUGGGACUGAGACACGGCCCAGACUCCUACGGGAGGCAGCAGUGAGGAAUUUUGCGCAAUGGGGGAAACCCUGACGCAGCGACGCCGCGUGGAGGAUGAAGGCCUUCGGGUCGUAAACUCCUGUCAGAGGUGAAGAAUACCCGCAAGGGUUUGACGGUAACCUCAAAGGAAGCCCCGGCUAACUACGUGCCAGCCGCCGCGGUAACAC
rnacentral:rRNA from 1 species